AUAUAAAAUUAUACAUAUUAUUAUAAAGGUUUGAUUAAAACAACAUACUUUUAAAUUUCGCACCACACACUGCACUUUGCUUACUACACAAAGUGUGUCGUACUACACACUAUUUUAGGGACUGAUUUUGAAUGCAAUUUAAUAACUUGUUAACAAAACUUCAAAAAUUGCAUUUUAGUAUUUUUCAGUAUAUAUACUAAUUGUAUUGUGAUGUUUUUAUUUCAGCAUAAUGAAUCGUCUCAUAACAAAUCUUUAUUAACAAGUCAUAGUGAUAUUACAUCGAUACCCAGCACUUCUGUUGUAAGCAUAAAUAAAACUAUUUAAUUUGCAAUCGAUUGAAACCAUUAAAUUGUUUUACGAGGAUCUCCAAAAUGUGGCCGAUAACACAAAGUCAACACAACUCCAAAAUACACAUAUAGCUUCACAACCAACAACAGGUUAUUGGAAUGGCUCAAAGGUACCAAUGGGGGCAGGUCUUUAUUAGCCUCCUACCAAGAAAGUGGUCUUUUGGACAGUAUUGGUCGUAAACGCCUUUGCAAUUUAAUAAUGCAUAAAAUUAAAAAAAACUAAGGAAAAUACAGUCAUAUAAAUAUUAAAAGAAUACAUACAAUUAGGAGCAGAAGAUAAUGAAGAAGUUUCUAACAUUGCUGUCUUACUCAGUCUCCCAUUUCUGAUUGGUGUUUCAAUUUCAAGAACCAAGAAAUCAAAAAUACAGUGGAGAGCUUCUAAACAAGAAAUGAGGGAUGGGUUUAUAACACAUGUAAGAAGUAACGCUGAGGUGCAAGCUACAUUAUUACACGGAGAGACAAAUUGAUAGGUUUAGGCCAUACACUUCAACCAUUCAUCAUAAUUAAAUAAUAAAAAAAAAAUAAGUAUUCGUAUUAUUCGUUUUAUUUGCAAAUUAUCA